ACGUGGGCAAUCUGCCCUUGGGAUCGGGAUAACCCGCCGAAAGGCGUGCUAAUACCGGAUAAGACCACGCUGUCCCCGGACAGUGCGGUAAAAGGUGGCCUCUCCAUGGAAGCUAUCACCUGAGGAUGGGCCCGCGGCCUAUUAGCUUGUUGGUGAGGUAACGGCUCACCAAGGCGACGAUGGGUAUCCGGCCUGAGAGGGUGAACGGACACACUGGCACUGAGACACGGGCCAGACUCCUACGGGAGGCAGCAGUGGGGAAUUUUGCGCAAUGGGGGAAACCCUGACGCAGCAACGCCG
rnacentral:rRNA from 1 species